GAACUCUAAAUUUCACUCUUUAAGCUGAGUUGUUUGAGUAGAGUUGAGCAGAGGAGUGGUGGGGUCAGACUUAGGAUUUAAACAGCUCUUCAUGCCUGCCGUAUGGAGAACAGAAUGCAGGGGCCAGGGGAGAAGCCUGGAGACCAGGGUGACCAAUGACAUUCCAGAUGGUAGAGUCCCUGAGUGACACAGAACAACCCUCCCUGUUCACCAACCUGAGAAUGAGAGAAUUGGACAAGACAGGCUUCAGUCACAGACACCCCAAGCAGACCAGGAUCCUUCCUAAGAGGAACACAAUUCCCCUCAUGGGUUGGGGUUUGGAUGUUUGGUUCAGGAAGAGCCUAGGACCUGGCUGCGGUCACCCAGGGCGCCCAGCACUCGACCCGAGAACAUUUCUGAAAGUAGCACUGCAGUUCCUCGAUAACUGAGCAGACUCCAAGGAGACAAGGAGAAAACAGAAAAUAAGAAAGGAGGUAACAAAGAGACCAUUCUAAAUUCAAAAAAGCAAUUUUAGAAUCAAAGUGAAUUCGGCUAUUGAAGCCAGAAACUACAGAAGUUCACACGGUGAGGUCUUGGCCUUAGCUCUUCAGCGAGCUGGGUUCCACGUCGGGGAAAUGAAGUUACCGUGAAAUCAAAGCCUCAGAGGGUGAAUCAAGGAGCCGGCAUGUAAGCACCUUGGUUAAGCCUGUGCCCAGAGGAAGGCCAAAGAACAGCAGACAACAGGAACCCCGCCUUCAGGAAGCCUUCAGCAGGAGCAGCAAAAAUCUGCUUCCUCUCCAACCCUAAGGUCACUGCAGGCUGACAAACCCUUCCCCCACGCCCUGCCACUUGAGCAGCUCAGCUCCCUGCAACCCACCCGUCCUAACCCCCACCCCCAGCUGAAUCACAGAGGCCACUUUUUUUUUUUUUUUUUUUUGGGACGGAGGCUUGCUCUGUCACCCAGGCUGGAGUGCACUGGCGUUGAGAGGUGACAGCGUGCUGGCAGUCCUCACAGCCCUCGCUCAAUCUCGGCGCCUCCUCUGCCUGGGCUCCCACUUUGGCGGCCCUUGAGGAGCCCUUCAGCCCGCCGCUGCACUGUGGGAGCCCCUUUCUGGGCUGGCCAAGGCCAGAGCCGGCUCCCUCAGCUUGCAGGGAGGUGUGGAGGGAGAGGCGCGGGCGGGAACCGGGGCUGCGCGCGGUGCUUGCGGGCCAGCGCGAGUUCCGGGUGGGCGUGGGCUCCGCGGACCCCGCACUCGGAGCGGCCGGCCGGCCCCACCGGCCCCGGGUACUGAGGGGUUUAGCACCUGGGCCAGCAGCUGCUGUGCUCAAUUUCUCGCCGGGCCUUAGCUGCCUUCCGGCGGAGCAGGGCUCGGGACCUGCAGCCUGCCAUGCCUGAGCCUCCCCCACGCUCCGUGGGCUCCUGUGCGGCCUGAGCCUCCCCGACGAGCGCCACCCCCUGCUCCAGGGCGCCCAGGCCCAUCCACCACCCAAGGGCUGAGAAGUGCGGGCGCACGGCCCAGGACUGGCAAGCAGCUCCACCUGCAGCCCCGGUGCGGGAUCCAUUGAGUGAAGCCAGCUGGGCUCCUGACUGUGGUGGGGACGUGGAGAACCUUUAUGUCUAGCUAAGGGAUUGUAAAUACACCAAUCAGCACUCUGUAUCUAGCUCAAGGUUUGUAAACACACCAAUCAGCACCCUGUGUCUAGCUCAGGGUUUGUGAAUGCACCAGUCGACACUCUGUAUCUAGCUACUCUGAUGGGGACUUGGAGAACCUUUGUGUCGACACUGUAUCUAGCUAAUCUGGUGGGGACGUGGAGAAACUUUGUGUCUAGCUCAGGGAUUGUAAAUACACCAAUCGGCACUCUGUAUCUAGCUCAAGGUUUGUAAACACACCAAUCAGCACCCUGUGUCUAGCUCAGGGUUUGUGAAUGCACCAAUCGACAAUCUGUAUCUAGCUACUCUGGUGGGGACUUGGAGAACCUUUGUGUCCACACUCAGUUUCUAGCUAAUCUAGUGGGGAUGUGGUGAACCUUUGUGUCUAGCUCCGGGAUUGUAAAAGCACCAAUCAGCACCCUGUCAAAACAGACCACUCGGCUCUCUGUAAAAUGGACCAAUCAGCAGGAUGUGGGUGGGGCCAGAUAAGAGAAUAAAAGCAGGCUGCCGGAGCCAGCAGUGGCAACUCGGUAGGGUCCCCUUCCACGCUGUGGAAGCUUCGUUCUUUUUCUCUUUGCAAUAAAUUUUGUUGCUGCUCACUGUUUGGGUCCACACUGUCUUUAUGAGCUGUAACACUCAUUGCGAAGGUCUGCAGGUUCACUCCUGAAGCCAGCGAGACCACGAACCCACCAGGAGGAACAAACAACUCCAGACCAGCCGCCUUAAGAGCUGUAACACUCACUGUGAAGGUCUGUAGCUUCACUCUUAAGCCAGCGAGACCACGAACCCACCAGAAGGAAAAAACUUUAAACACUUCCGAAUAUCAGAAGGAACAAACUCCGGACACGCCACCUUUAAGAACUGUAACACUCACCGCGAGGGUCCGCGGCUUCAUCCUUGAAGUCAGUGAGACCAAGAAUCCACCAAUUCCGGACACAGCGUGAUCUCGGCUCAUUGCAAGCUCCGCCUCCCAGGUUCACGUCAUUCUCCUGCCUCAGCCUCCCCAGCAGAUGGGACUACAGGCGCAUGCUGCCACGCCCGGCUAAAUUUUUUUUUGUUUUUAGUAGAGAUGGGGUUUCACCAUGUUUGUCAGGAUGGUCUGACCUCCUGACCUUGUGAUCCGCCCGCCUCGGUCUCCCAAAGUGCCCGGAUUACAGGCGUGAGCCACUGCGCCUGGCCUCUUUUUUUUUUUUCUUCGAGAUGGAGUCUCACUCUGUCGCCCAGGCUGGCAGCGUGAUGGCGCGAUCUCGGCUCCCUGCAACCUCUGCCUCCUGGGUUCCAGUGAUUCUCUUGCCUCAGCCUCCCGAGUAGCUGGGAAUGCAGGUGCCCGCCAUCAUGCCUGGCUAAUUUUUGUAUUUUUAGUAGAGACAGGGUUUUACCAUUUUGGCCAGGCUGGUCUCGAACUCCUGACCUCAGGUGAUCUGCCCAUCUCAGCCUCCCAAAGUGCUGGGAUUACAGGCGUGGGCCACCACACCCAGCCACAGAGGCUACUUUCUGCCCACCUCUCCCAGGCUGGGCUCUCUAGCCUUGCACUUCUGCUCAUGAAGACUAAGGGUUGCCAAUGUCACAAUGGCAGACACUGGCGGGUCCCAGUAGGUCUGCUUCUGCUUCAUGGGGGUAGCCGUGGAUAGCACAGUGGGCAGCCCUGGAAACAAAAUCCCCUUUGACAUCCAAAAUGAAGCUUGCCUAGAGCAGUGUCCGGUCCAUGGAAAUACAAGUAAUAUUGUUGGAAGGCAGCAGGCACCAGACAUCCAUUUGUGUGGGGGAAAAUGUAUCACAAAAGCGUUUCCUGGUCCAGAAAGUAAACCAUUGAACUUGAUCCGACUGAUUUCCUGCAUGCUUUUUAUUUCACUCUCAAGUAAUGGCUUUGACUGGGCCCCACAACGAUUCCACCUUUCCAUCCGAAUACGACAUCUUCAGAUUCUCUCAGUUUCCCAAGUCAAAAGGGCAGAACUUCCUGUCUGAAUUUUAAAGCCUCUGUUGCCUUGAUUUUGUUCCUGACUCAAUGGAGAUGAAUUCCGAGUUGAAGACAAACAAUUGUGCCUUGUGAACAGUCGCCACGUCGAAAAGACUCAAGAGUACUUUUGCGGAAACCUGUCUCAGGAAAAAUUCCCAGUGUGGGAGGGAAGGAGGGUGAACUCCAUCCUGGAAGGAGGAAUUCCAGUUGCUCUGAAAAUGUAAUUUUCUAAGUAAAUUCAUUAAAGUUGAAAUGUCUAAUAAGAAAGGGGAAGCAAAGUUGGUUGCAAAGGGAGAAAUUGCAUACUGCAAAGCCACAAAUUCCUAAGCAGCAAAAUUUCUUUCUUUUUUUAAUUUUUUCCAGAGACUAGCUUGAGUGCAAUGGUGCAAUCAUAGCUCACUGCAGCCUUGAACUCCUAUACUCAAGUGAUUCUCCCACCUCACCCUGCCUAGUAGCUGUGGCUAUAGAUGUGAGCCACCACACCCGGCUUAAAAUUUCUUGGUACUAGAAAAAUUGCUCUCAUACUGGCAAUUUCACCCAGGAUCAUUGAUCUCUUCUGAAUGGUGAAAAUUGACACCGAAGAGCUUUCUGUGUAAAUUGCUGCACAGGGUAUGCAGGUAUACUGCAUGCCCAGCCUUGUGCUUCUUGCCUGGUUGCAAAACCACUUGUAUUUCCACCCUCUUGAUUCCUAAAUUACUACACAAAAACAGAGUUCCUGAGUCUAGGAAGGGGGGAAAAAUCCCCUGAAAUUCUGUUCUCAGGGUAGAGUUUACCUCUCCUAAUAUAAAGAUUGACACUCAGUAAGAAACAUUCAAAGUAGCAGUCAUGUUGGGACCAGCCUUUGUGAUUGUUUUGCCAGCUCUGCAGAAAUUAUUUUUUAGGAAGAGUGAUGCUCUCUUCUUCGUUCCUGCCCACAACAGCCACAAAAUACAAUAUUCAUUAUCAACAACAAAUAUUUAUUGCCUAUUGUGUGCCAUCCACUUGUGCUAGCCACUGGUGUUUUUAUUUUUUUUUAAAGUGAAAGUGAUUUGAAAUGAAUUUUCUUCCCGAUAUUUGAAGUCCUCUAGAAAUAUUAUAAGUUCAAAAUUAGAUGUCAUUGUCCCAGGAUGAGAUUUCUUUUGAAUAUGAUAAAUACUUCUUAAAGUAAAAAUGUUUUAAGGAUCCCUCUCCACAAUAUUUUUUUUAGAAUCCUCUGAUAAAAUAUUUAUUUAUGUAAUGUCUUCUGGAUUAUGGUAAAAAAAAUUGUUUUUAAUAUAUUUAAUUCAGUCAACAAAUAUUUGAAGGGUACACUAUGUAUCAGGCACUAAUCUGUAUGCUGAAUAAUUCAGUGGUAAGCACUAAUAAUUAUAGUCAUAGAUAUUGAGAGCAUUUCAUGUACUCAUUGUAUUAAACAUUAUGUUAAGG
rnacentral:lncRNA from 10 species